UUAGCUGAGAGGUGGUGCAUGGCCGUCGUCAGUUCGUACUGUGAAGCAUCCUGUUAAGUCAGGCAACGAGCGAGACCCACGCCCACAGUUGCCAGCGUACUCUCUGGAGUGACGGGUACACUGUGGGGACCGCCGCUGCUAAAGCGGAGGAAGGAAUGGGCAACGGUAGGUCAGUAUGCCCCGAAUAUCCCGGGCUACACGCGAGCUACAAUGGUUGGUACAAUGGGUAUCUACCCCGAAAGGGGACGGGAAUCUCCUAAAACCAAUCUUAGUUCGGAUUGAGGGCUGCAACUCGCCCUCAUGAAGCUGGAAUCCGUAGUAAUCGCGUUUCAACAGAACGCGGUGAAUACGUC
rnacentral:rRNA from 1 species